UACAGAGGUCUCAAGCGUUGUUCGGAUUCAUUGGGCGUAAAGGGCGCGUAGGCUGCGGGGCAAGUCGGGUGUGAAAUCUCAGAGCUCAACUCUGAAACUGCAUUCGAUACUGCCGUGCUGGAGGACUGGAGAGGAGACUGGAAUUUACGGUGUAGCGGUGAAAUGCGUAGAUAUCGUAAGGAAGACCAGUGGCGAAGGCGGGUCUCUGGACAGUUCCUGACGCUGAGGCACGAAGGUCAGGGGAGCAAACGGG
rnacentral:rRNA from 1 species